rnacentral:rRNA from 1 species
CGUGUAGGCGGGAGGGCACGUCCGUCGCUGAAAUCCCCCGGCUCAACCGGGGAACGGGCGCGGAUACGACCUUCCUGGAGGGGCGUAGGGGGACCUGGAACUUCCGGUGGAGCGGUGAAAUGCGUUGAGAUCGGAAGGAACGCCCGUGGCGAAAGCGAGGUCCUGGACGCCUACUGACGCUGAGACGCGAAAGCCAGGGGAGCGAACG